CUCGGGCGAGCAGGGGUCAGGCGGGAAAAGAAGACUCCAAAUCCACUCUCUGCUCGCCCCCAGGGCAAUGCUGCCAGGAGAGGGAGUGGGUUCCCCCGCAGGCUAUCCCACCGAUGGGGCUGAGAGCUUAAUUUGGGGUUUUAUUUGAAUUGGAGACAUUGUUCCCUCUUCGCUCCUCUACCCCAUAAAAUUCCCUACAAAUGCAAAAAUUCGAGAUAGAAGAAGCCGUCCCUGAAAUUGCUGUCUAACAUUCACCGGAAACCUCUCCAUAAACAAGGAGAAACGAAUGCACACGCAUUUUUGCUAAGAAGCCCGGGAUUAAGAUUUAAGGAUACAAGCUGAAAGAAAAAAUGAAAAAUGCUUCUCCGCGCGUCAAUCGAGGGGUGGAUGCGCCACGCAGCGUGAGCCCAGCUCACAGCCACGCGUAAGACCAAAAGCUGCCAUGGGUUCUGCGCGCGGAGACCUCAGAGCCGAAGAGAGAAGUCCCCGCGUCAGAAACGCUGCGGAUGCCAGGUCUUGAAAAUGCUGACUUCUGAGGCUAAGAAUUAUUUCAAAGACAAAAAGAAAAGACUGGUGAGGAGGCCUUCCGGUGCAAGGGCGCCUAUCCGCUAAUUUUGGAUGGGGAAGUAGGGAUUAUUCGUUUAAAUUCAAUCGCGAGCACCAAGUCGGACUGGCCGGGGAUGGAGAAGGGCAACCCCCACCUUUAGAAAAAUAAAAGAUCUCGAAGGCCAAAAAAAAAAAAAAAAAAAAAAAAAAAAAAAAAAAAAAAAAAAAAAAAAAAAAAAAAAAAAAAAAAAAAAAAAAAAAAAAAAAAAAAAAAAAAAA
rnacentral:lncRNA from 1 species